rnacentral:rRNA from 1 species
CCUACGGGAGGCAGCAGUGAGGAAUAUUGGUCAAUGGACGAGAGUCUGAACCAGCCAAGUAGCGUGAAGGAUGACUGCCCUAUGGGUUGUAAACUUCUUUUAUAUGGGAAUAAAAUGUUCCACGUGUGGGAGUUUGUAUGUACCAUAUGAAUAAGGAUCGGCUAACUCCGGGCCAGCAGCCGCGGUAAUACGGAGGAUCCGAGCGUUAUCCGGAUUUAUUGGGUUUAAAGGGAGCGUAGGUGGAUUGUUAAGUCAGUUGUGAAAGUUUGCGGCUCAACCGUAAAAUGGCAGUUGAAACUGGCAGUCUUGAGUACAGUAGAGGUGGGCGGAAGUCGUGGUGUAGCGGUGAAAUGCUUAGAUAUCCCGAAGAACUCCGAUUGCGAAGGCAGCUCACUGGACUGCAACUGACACUGAGGCUCGAAAGUGUGGGUAUCAAACAGGAUUAGAUACCCGAGUAGUC